AGGUCAGGCGGGACUACCC
rnacentral:rRNA from 2 species